rnacentral:rRNA from 1 species
GCAUAUCAAUAAGCGGAGGAAAAGAAAAUAACAAUGAUUUCCCUAGUAACGGCGAGUGAAGAGGAAAGAGCUCAAAGUUGGAACCUGUUUGGCCUAGCUAAACCGGAUUGUAGACUGUAGAAGUGUUUUCCAGGCAAGCCGAGUAAAUAAGUCCUUUGGAACAGGGCAUCAUAGAGGGUGAGAAUCCCGUCUUUGGCUUGAGCAUUUGCCUUUUGUGAUACGCUUUCAAAGAGUCAGGUUGUUUGGGAAUGCAGCCUAAAUUGGGUGGUAAAUCUCACCUAAAGCUAAAUAUUGGCGAGAAACCGAUAGCGAACAAGUACCGUGAGGGAAAGAUGAAAAGAACUUUGAAAAGAGAGUUAAACAGUAUGUGAAAUUGUUAAAAGGGAACCGUUUGGAGCCAGACUGGCUUGUCUGUAAUCAAUCUAGGCUUCGGCCUGGAUGCACUUGCAGGCUAUGCCUGCCAACGACAAUUUGACUUGAGGGAAAAAACUAAGGGAAAUGUGGCCCACUUGUGGGUGUUAUAGUCCCUUAGAAAAUACCUUGGGUUGGAUUGAGGAACGCAGCGAAUGCUUUUUGGCGAGUUUUCCAGGAAGGUUUUCUGAGGUACUACGGUAUCAAGGUUGAUCUUUUUGGUUAUACUUCUAUUCGCUUAGGUUGUUGGCUUAAUGACUCUAAAUGACCCGUCUUGAAACACGGACCAAGGAGUCCACCAUUAGUGCGAGUAUUUGGGUGCCAAACCCAUAUGCGUAAGGAAACUGAUUGAUACGAAUCCAUUAAGGAGGCAGUAUCGUCCGGCGCUGACGUUUUAUACUGAAUUGACCGAGACAAAGCACUAAUGAUGGGGACCCGAAAGAUGGUGAACUAUGCCUGAAUAGGGUGAAGCCAGAGGAAACUCUGGUGGAGGCUCGUAGCGAUUCUGACGUGCAAAUCGAUCGUCAAAUUUGGGUAUAGGGGGCGAAAGACUAAUCGAAACCAUCUAGUAGCUGGUUCUGCGA